rnacentral:lncRNA from 1 species
CCCCCCGCCGCUGCUCCUGCGCCUCUCCACGCUUCCAGCUUCCAACCCCUGCGCGCGCCUGCGGCCGCUCGCCAGUCCCAAGGCUCCGAUGCUGCUGCUAGCUCCCGCCGAGGGCGCUUAGAACUUCAUCAGGUGCGGGCGGUCGCCGUCCUUCAGGGUGAAGCGGGUCGACAGGUAGCCCUUCAGGUCGGCCGACAGGGCCGGCAGCAGAGCGGCGUCCAGGGUCUUCUGGUUGGCGAUGUACUCCUGGCUGAGCACGUUCUUCUUCGCCUCCGACUGGUCGAAGAACUCCUUCUCGCCCUUCUUGCUCGACUUGCUCUCCACCGCCUUGAAGUAGCUGUCCGUGAACUUCGACAGGUCCAGCUUGGGCAGCGACACCUUGGUGCUGGUGCCAAUCACGUACGCGGCGUUGACGCGAC